GACGAACGCUGGCGGCGUGCUUAACACAUGCAAGUCGAACGAUGAACCCGGAGCUUGCUCUGGGGGAUUAGUGGCGAACGGGUGAGUAACACGUGAGUAACCUGCCCUGGACUCUGGGAUAAGCGUUGGAAACGACGUCUAAUACCGGAUAGGACCUUGGAUCGCAUGAUCUGGGGUGGAAAGUUUUUUCGGUCUGGGAUGGACUCGCGGCCAAUCAGCUUGUUGGUGAGGUAAUGGCUCACCAAGGCGUCGACGGGUAGCCGGCCUGAGAGGGUGACCGGCCACACUGGGACUGAGACACGGCCCAGACUCCUACGGGAGGCAGCAGUAGGGAAUAUUGCACAAUGGGCGAAAGCCUGAUGCAGCAACGCCGCGUGCGGGAUGACGGCCUUCGGGUUGUAAACCGCUUUUAGUAGGGAAGAAGGGCUUCGGCUUGACGGUACCUGCAGAAAAAGGACCGGCUAACUACGUG
rnacentral:rRNA from 1 species